rnacentral:rRNA from 1 species
AGAGUUUGAUCCUGGCUCAGGACGAACACUGGCGGCGUGCUUAACACAUGCAAGUCGAGCGGUAAGGCCCCUCCGGGGGCACACGAGCGGCGAACGGGUGAGUAACACGUGAGCAACCUGCCCCUGACUCCGGGAUAAGCGGCGGAAACGCCGUCUAAUACCGGAUACGACCCUCCGGCUCAUGCCGUGGGGGUGGAAAGUUUUUUCGGUUGGGGAUGGGCUCGCGGCCUAUCAGCUUGUUGGUGGGGUAAAGGCCUACCAAGGCGAUUACGGGUAGCCGGCCUGAGAGGGCGACCGGCCACACUGGGACUGAGACACGGCCCAGACUCCUGCGGGAGGCAGCAGUGGGGAAUCUUGCGCAAUGGGCGAAAGCCUGACGCAGSGACGCCGCGUGGGGGAUGACGGCCUUCGGGUUGUAAACUCCUUUUACCACUCACGCAGGCUCCCAGUUUUCUGGGGGUUGACGGUAGGUGGGGAAUAAGGACCGGCUAACUACGUGCCAGCAGCCGCGGUAAUAC